rnacentral:sRNA from 1 species
CGCACCCUGGGGAGGAGCCUUUGGGCGCGUGCCCCUGACCGAAGCCCCCUCCGCCCCUCUGAGCUCGGGCCCGGAGCCCCCGGGAGCCUGCCUGCGAGUCCUCGCGGGAACGGGAAGCCGGGACCCAGAACUCUUGUCUUUCAGGAUAAAGUGGCCAGUGUGUACGAAGCCCCGGGCUUUUUCCUGGACCUGGAGCCCAUCCCGGGAGCCUUGGACGCUGUGCGGGAGAUGAACGACCUACCGGAGUAAGGAGAGUGGGGGCAGGCGGAGUCCUGGGCGGGCUCCUGGCUCCCGGCGGUAACCACGUCCUUCUCCGCAGCACGGAGGUCUUCAUCUGCACCAGCCCCCUGCUGAAGUACGACCACUGUGUGGGUGAGAAGUACCGCUGGGUGGAGCAGCACUUGGGGCCCCAGUUCGUAGAACGAAUUAUCCUGACAAGGGACAAGACGGUGGUCUUGGGGGACCUGCUCAUUGACGACAAGGACACAAUUCGAGGCCAGGAGGAGACCCCAAGCUGGGAGCACAUCUUGUUCACCUGCUGCCACAAUCGGCACCUGGUCCUGCCCCCGACAAGGAGACGGCUGCUCUCCUGGAGUGACAACUGGAGGGAGAUCUUAGACAGCAAGCGAGGAGCUGCGCAGCGGGAAUGAGCGGGGAUGCGGCGGGCAGCAGCUGGAGCUGAAGGAACGACAGCCCCACAGGGGCCACCGCAGAGCCGAGUCGGGGCGGCAUCGUGCUGGUGCCUCUGGCCCCGUGGGGUGGAGCAGGCAGAUAC